AAUCUCAGUUCAGACUGCAGGCUGCAACUCGCCUGCACGAAGUCGGAAUUGCUAGUAAUCGUAGGUCAGCAUACUACGGUGAAUACGUUCCCGGGCCUUGUACACACCGCCCGUCAAACCAUGAGAGUUGGCAACACCCGAAGUCGGUAGUCUAACCGCAAGGAGGACGCCGCCGAAGGUGGGGUUGAUGAUUAGGGUUAAGUCGUAACAAGGUACC
rnacentral:rRNA from 1 species